rnacentral:lncRNA from 1 species
ACUUUGAGAGCUUCUAAGUCUUGCUCCCAUGCCUUGGGACAAUCGUCUGCUACUCAUGGAUGGGCAAACAUGGGAGUCGAGCUAGACCGCUCGAUCCUAUCUCCGUCAUAUGUUGUAUACCUCACAGCACCUCCAACUUAAGACUUGCUCGGGGUCGUCUCCGCGUGACGUUGCUCAUCCUCCCGAGUCUCUCAUCCCAUGCCUGAUCUAUCUCCAUCUAGAACUCCACGUCGCACUGGGCUCCCGCUAGCAUCCUCCAUCUCCUUGCACAAGAGAGCAUUGAUCAACCCUCCAUGAUCGAUCUCCAUCUUAAUUGCAUCUAUCUUCUCCAUCUUCAAUCUUACUCACCACCAUCGUAACCUCGCAUUGGUAUUGCCUUGGCUCUGAUACCAAUUGUUGUGAAGGAUCCAGUACCUUAUAUUGCAGCAGGAAGAAAAAAGAAAUAAAACAGAGUACACACAAUCAAGUACGUGGAAUAGCUCAAGUGCUGCCUCCAUGGGGCAUGCAAGCUUCAUUAGGAGAAAAAAAUAAUACAAGAGGAGAACAUCCACUCUCAAUUCUCUAUAUACAUACCUCUCUCAACUUGAAGCUACUCUCACAAAAGCUCUUUUAAAAUCCUUCAAGGAGAUCCUCUCACAAGCCUGCCAGUAUUAGGAUCCUCGAUGCCCCUGGAUUCUUUCUGUGGAAGUUACUACAUCAUGCCUCACCGCAGCUGCUCUGUCGGUUACUCUGCUCUGCCCUUGAUCCCCUACCGAUGCUCUGCAGUGUUUGCUUUGCUUGCUGCACACUCUUAGCGCACACUGGACUCUCUCUUGAUGGUUGUCAAGGCCUCUCCUCAGCUUUAAUGUCUUCUCUGCACGAUCAGGACCUC